UUGCUGGUUGGGCCCUGUUUGGAGACUAGCUUAGUUAUAGUCCAGAGGCCAACGGUGUAUGAGUGUCAUUUCAAAACUUAUACCAGCAAUUUACUAUUAUAUAUAUUUUUUGUUAUUUGUUUUAAUUUGUUCUAAAUUUAAAUUACUUGUUUGAAUUUGUGGUAGUGGACUGCUGACUGUGGGCCCUGCUUGGUGACUGGCUUUGGUAUAGUCCUGAGGCCAUCAGUGUUUGAAAAUUAAUUCACAAAUUUUUAUCAGCAAUUUGCUAUCAUAUAAUUAAUUUUUAAUUUUAAUUUUGUUAUUUGACUUACCCGUUGAACGGUGUGAAUACUUUGUGAUAGUAAAUUGUUGAUUGGGUCCUGCUUGGUGACUAGCUUCUAGUUAUAGUCUAGAGGCCAGGUGCGCUUGAGUUUAGUUGCAACUCAAAACCUGGUAUCAGCAAUUUUCUAUCUUAUAACUUUAAAUUUUAAGUUUGUUCUUAUUUGUUGAGGUGUCCUUGGUACAGUGGUGAGGUCUAGGUUACCUAAAUACUUAGGAGUAGGAAUAUUUUGGUGGGCUCACUCGUACACUCCUUUAAAUAAUUCCUUUGAUUUUUUUUUCAAUUUUUAUUUUGAAUUUUUUUUUGUUUUUUUUUUUAUUUUUUUGAAUUUUUUUUUGAAUUUUUUUUUGAAUUUUUUUUUGAUUUUUUUUUGUUCUGGUUGUAAACUGCAAGUAACAUGUCGGUGUCCUACAUUCGCGGGAAGGUGACUAGUGAGCUCCGAUGGUUCGCAUCAGCUCAUGCUUUGGUUGACAGAACAGAUAGGGAUGCGGCAUUGCUCGAUAGGGCGUCUCAGGUGCACGAACGGUUGGAGGUAGUGUACGAUCGGUUGUCUGACCUCGUUGCUUUGGGGUCCGAAGUGGAGAAGGAGGUGAUCCAUGCCAUCGGUCUUGACGUGGACCAGUGUCAGGAGUACGCUGAUGCCAUUCUGCAACGGGUGGCCGAUAUUAAGAAGCAGUCGUCAUCCGGUGGUAAUGGAGGUUCGGGAACUUCGUCAGGCGUCAUAUCACGCCUCCCCUCCAUCGACCUGCCGAUCUUCCACGGUGAUCUGAACGAGUGGGUCGGCUUUAUAAAUUUGUUUGACAGCCUGGUCCAUGGUCGGUCGGACUUGACUGCCUCUUAUAAGAUGGCUCAGCUUCGGGGUGCUCUGCGAGGUGAACCUGGUGAAUUGGUGGCACACUUGCCUAUCACCAACGACAAUUAUGCGGUCGCACGCCAGAUCCUGUUCGACCGAUAUCAAAAUCAACGACGGUUGGUAGACACUCAGCUGGCCAGGCUGUUUGCGAUACCCAAACUUUCUCGGGCUUCCGAUAUCAGAGCCGAGGUACUGAAUCCAGUUACGGUGGCCACUAAGGCCUUGGGAAAUUUGGGUCUACCAGUAGACCAAUGGUCAUAUCUGCUCUUUUAUAUUGUUGCAGGUAGGCUGCCGGUUGAGGUGCUCACUCGAUUCGAGCAGCAGGACAACGCAGGUAGGGACGAACUGCCUACCCUGGCCAGUCUGCUGGCAUUUUUAGAAGCUGAAAGUCGCCGACACGAGAUUAUGCCACCGCCCUCCUCCUCUGGGUCGCGUGUGCCGGUUUCCGGCCACGCCGUUUCGGUUGCUCAGAGGGGAGGGGGAGGGGAUAAGAGGGGGCCGUCUCAACGACUGACUGCGCUCAUGGCAGCGGUGGGAGGCCCACGGUGUGCCUUCUGUCAUGAGAGCGGGCACGACGUAGCCGCCUGUCCGAGGUUCCGGUCGACGCGCAUCAGGGGUAGACGCAACAUCGUUGCCCAGCGGCGAUGGUGCUUUUUUUGUUUUGGGCCGCACACGGCGAGCGUCUGUCCACAGCCACAAUUGUGCCCUAAUUGCGACGGUCGGCACCAUGCCCUCCUGUGUCUGGAGUCUGCCGCCACUCCGAGGUCAUCCGGACGCAGUCAUCCAGCCUCGCCGACCGGUGAGCGCACCGGUCGUAGCCCUCGCCAAUUCGGCGGCGUGGACCCUCGGAAAGAGGCUUCGCAGGGAGGCGCCGGGUUAGGUACUGCGGGCGGGUGCCAGCGGAUGCCCAUUAGCUACGCCGGGGUGGCCACGUUGUCCCCCCGUGCGGGGCCGUGUUCGCCUGCUGGAUCGAGUAGCCCUGCUCACUCGUCUCCCCCUCCCUCAGAAGUACGGUUUUCUCCUCCGCUGAGGGAGCGGCCGACGCUGGAGCGACUCCCUCCAGUGUUUGGACCGUUUGGCCAUCGUACGCGGAGGUAUAUGAGGCGGGACGGGAAACGAGGGCCUUAUGUGGGAGCGUGGGAUCCGCUGGCACGCUACGACCUUCCGUCGCGCGCCGACCGGGAUAGCGGGGACCCGGGCCCCCGCUAGGAAAUUGCCGCUCACUGCAGUGUUGCCCCAGCCCCAGAAGCUGUUUUACUUCCUACCGCUUCUGUUCGGGUGUUGGAUUCGGAUGGCAACACUGUGUUUGCUCGAGCUCUGUUGGAUUCCGGCGCACAGGGCACUAUUAUGUCGAGCAACCUUGCAGUACGGUUGGGCAAUCCUAUUUACAAGUCUUCUUAUUCUAUUCGUGGAGUGGGCAAUGUUAGAAUUUCGGACGUGAUCGGUCACACUUCAUUUAUUUUCUCAUCGAAUCCCAACCCUCGCUUACAGUUUAGAGUCUCAGCUUUGGUGAUGCCUGAGGUGAUAGGUCGUCACCCUCCGGUGAAGGUAAACAGUUACAUACGGUCAUUGACUUCAGACUUACGGCUAGCGGACCCCAAGUUUGACACCCCGGGGCCAGUAGACGUACUACUUGGGGCGGAUGUACUAGGGAAGCUGCUCCUGACUGGGAAGCGCGUUCUUCAUGCGGAGGGUUUGGUUGCAAUGGACACAAAAUUAGGGCAUGUAUUGUUGGGUCCUGCGUUCCGGCCGGUCGCUGCGAGGAAAUCGGACAAUUUUCUGGUCGGGUCUACGCUUUCGGAAGUAGUCCAACGGUUUUGGGAACUAGAAGAACCUCCUACAGCUUAUCGAGUUAACCCGGAUGAGGAGGAAUGUGAGCUGUUUUACCAGAAUAAUACGGGUCGUCUCUAUUCGGGCCGGUUCUUGUUAAGACUUCCUUUUCGGGCGAAUCGCCCACUGCUAGGCAGUUCGAGGAAGGCAGCAGAGACCAGACUUUUGUCAAUGGAGAGACGCAUGAGGCGCGACGCGGUGUUCCGGCAGAAAUAUGUAGAGUUUAUGCGGGAGUAUGAAUCUUUAGGUCACAUGUCGGUUUCCAAGGUAGAUUGGAGUGCUACGGAGCACUGUUUCCUGCCUCAUCAUGCGGUUUUGAAAACUCCUAACGGUAAAAUUAGGGUCGUGUUUGACGGUUCGGUCACGACCUCCUCCGGCGUCUCCUUAAAUCAGUGUCUCCAUUCGGGUCCAAAGCUGAACCGGGACAUUUCAGACAUACUGACGAGCUUCCGCAGGCACCAGAUCGUUUUCGUGGCAGACAUCCGUAUGAUGUUCAGGCAAACGGUGAUUCAUCCGGAGGAUAGGCGGUAUCAACUCAUUCUCUGGCGUGAAAGCUCAGAUGAGCCCAUAAAAAUUUAUGAACUGAACACGAACACUUACGGGUUGCGGUCGAGUCCAUAUUUAGCGGUUCGUUCUUUGCGGGAGUUGGCAGUGAGGGAACGGUUGCACUACCCUCGUGCUGCGGACAUUUUGGAACGGGACCUAUAUGUCGAUGACGUAUGUACGGGCGCCGACAGUGUCGAAGAGGCCUUAUCACGCAAGGAUGAACUGAUCCGCCUUUUGAGCAGGGGCGGGUACGAGUUGAGAAAAUGGCUGUCUAACUGUCCUGAGUUGUUGACUGGUUUGCCAACGGAGUAUCAACAGGAUCCCCAUCUUUUCGAGAAUGUCGAUAACCCUAACAUGCUGUCGGUCCUAGGGAUUCAAUAUCGUCCGAUUCAAGACGAAUUUACCUAUCGGGUGGAGUUGGAAAAUCCAAAGGUAUGGUCUAAGCGAACGGUGCUUUCCACAAUUGCUCGAACCUUCGAUCCAAACGGUUGGAUCGCUCCUGUCACUUUUCUCUUAAAGUGCUUCAUGCAGCGACUGUGGUCUGCUAACCUGUCAUGGGACGAGGGGAUUGCUGGUGACCUAUUGAAGGAUUGGUUGAACUUUUUCUCGUCUCUUCCUGAUAUUAACCACGUGUCAAUACCUCGGAAGCUGGUUCCUGCGGGCAAAUACAAGGCGUCUCUCCACGGGUUUUCGGAUGCCUCGGAACGCGGAUUCGCAGCUGCGGUAUACUUGCGAACGGUUUCUUCAACUGGAAGGGUUGAUAUACGGUUGGUGUUAGCUAAGAGUAAGGUCGCUCCGCUUCGGACACGCAUGACGAUUCCGAAGCUCGAGUUGUCUGGUGCCGCUCUGUUGACUAGGUUGUUAAACCAUACAGCUACUAGUUUACGGUCGGUUAUUGAUUUAGAAAACACUGUCUAUGCUUGGACAGACAGCCAGAUAGUGUUGUGCUGGUUGAAGGCUUCGGUUCAUACACUUGAAGUUUUCGUGGCCAACCGUGUCUCCCAGAUUCAAGGUUCUGAGGUCCCUCUAACAUGGAGACACGUGCCUGGUGAGCUCAAUCCGGCGGACUGCGCUUCUCGGGGAUGCUUAGCAUCGGAAAUAGUUGAUCAUCAGUUAUGGUGGGGUCCCCAGUGGCUCACCAAGAAAGCUUCUCAGUGGCCUCCCUCUCGCAUAGAAGUUCCUCCAGGUCUCGUGGCUGCACCGGCGCAGUUCGAGGAUCGAGGAGUGAUUCAGGGGUUGGAUUUGGAUCUGCUCAUCAACCGUUAUAGCUCCUUGGACAAGCUGGUUAAGGUUACCGCCUGGAUUUUGAGGUUUAUUCGGAAUUGUCGUUUGUCGGUGUCUCAACGCAAUAUGACACCUGUUGUGUGUCCCAUCGAGCGGAAGAAGGCGCUGCUGAAAUUAAUUGAAGUUGUGCAAGCCACCAGCUUUCAUUCAGAAUUGAAGGCGCUAAGGACUAAGCGCCCUAAGCUUCGUGGAGCUAUCGCUCGUCUUAGCCCCUUUGUAGACGGCCAGGGGCUGAUUCGAGUGGGAGGUAGAUUAAGUAACUCCAAUUUACCUUAUUCGGCGCGCCAUCCUCUUUUACUUCCCAAGAAGAGCCAGUUAGUUGACCUGUUGGUGAUGGAUCGCCACAUCGCAAAUUCGCAUUCCGGUUGCAAUGCGUUGUUGGCAUCCCUCCAGAGGGAAUUUUGGAUUCUGUCAGGGCGUCGUACGGUUCGGAGCGUCCUUUUCCGGUGUUUACCCUGUUAUCGGCUUAAGGCGUCUACGAUGCAGCCUCAGAUGGGAGAUCUGCCCCCAGACAGAGUGAAGAAGAUCAGGCCGUUUUCUGGAGUUGGUACGGACUUCGCUGGGCCCUUCAUGAUCAAGGCUUCACGUUUGCGGAAUGUUAGGUUAAUUAAGGCUUAUCUGUGCGUCUUUGUCUGUCUUUCAACCAAAGCUGUACAUCUUGAAGUUGUUGCCGACCUUACAACUGAAGCCUUUAUUGCGAGCUUGGAUAGAUUUGUGUCCCGUCGAGGUUUACCCGAAUUGAUACGCUCCGAUAACGGAACGAAUUUUGUAGGUGCGGACCGUUACUUGCGGGAUGUAGUAAAUUUCUUGAACAAUAACCAGGUGGAUAUUGAAACGGCCCUCUCUCGUCGCGGUAUUCGGUGGACCUUCAGUCCUCCAGGAUGCCCCCACUGGGGUGGAAUUUUCGAGGCAGUAGUAAAAUCGGCUAAGACUCACUUGAUGCGCGUGAUAGGGCAAACCUCGCUCACCUUUGAGGAGUUAACUACGGUAUUUUGUAAAAUUGAAGCGGUACUUAAUUCACGGCCGUUGUGCCCGCUCAGUUCAGACCCGAAUGACUUGGAGUCGUUAACUCCAGGCCAUUUCUUGAUAGGACAGCCACUCAAUGCGUUGCCGGAGUAUCCCCUCUCGGAUAUCAAGCCUGGACGGUUGAGGCGAUACCAGAUGUUGCAGCAGAUGUCCCAAGAUUUUUGGAAACGUUGGUCCCUUGAGUAUUUACAUCUGCUCCAGCAGCGCUUUAAGUGGACGGAUAGAACCAGUCCCCCUCACGUCGGUGACCUUGUGUUGGUUAAGGAUGCUAACCUGCCGCCACUGCGUUGGCGUAGGGGGCGCAUUGUUAAUCUGUUUCCCGGUAAGGAUGGGACCCCUCGGUCUGCAGAGGUUCUGGUCGGGGACUCGGUUCUCAAACGAGCGGUCACAACGUUGUCCCGGCUGCCAGUUGAUUAGGGACAGGUAGGGGACCUGUCCGGGCGGGUGACUGUUCGAAACCAAUCCGUUAGUUUUUGAAUUCUUACCACGGCAACACGGGUCGCGAUUUGACGGUGCCGUCGCGAUUUGACAUCUGUCACUUUGUCUUGCUUCUCGAACGGGACGGUACCUGUACAUUGACGGUCUACGCUAAAGUUGUGUAUCAUCGCUAAUCCUUAUCCAUUCCUGCCCUAUACCCUUCUCCCUAAGUGAUACGGCGUGAGAAGACGAAGGCAUCGGUUCCGGGCUCAAACCGGAGUGUUGCUAAUACUGGCCCUAGCAAGAGCAGUACUUCGCAGAAUCUACCACCGGAUCGGAAACGUGACCCACAAGAAGAUACGGCGAGAAACUCAGUGGGCUGUGUCUACGGGUUAACCAAUCCACAAGAUAACAAUAACGUUGCUGCGAAUAUGGGGGCGCAUUGUUAGCCUUCUUAGUGGUAGACCACAUAGAUCUGCCAUCUUCCGCUGAAAGAGAUGACCUCCAAAGAUCCUUAGAAUGGCUAGACGUAAUAUUUUAAGAUUUCUUACACCGACAUGACAGUCCGAUGUGGCUCGAUUUAAAUUUUGAAUUAAAAAUAAAACACUUGUUUUUUUUAAGCAUUCUUAAUGUAAGAUGUUGUUAACAACUUCUUAGUCUGUGUAGCGAAACCUGUUUUUUUUAAUAUAUGCUUUACAACUGUUUUA